GUUUCAGCAGUGAAACGUAACACGAAUACAAAUUAUUCAUUAUGUUACUAGGUAUUGGUGAACGCCCCUGAAGUCCCUAUACUAACAUAACCUCAAAGAAGUCUUGCUGAUGGGAGUGGCAUGCGUAAAAAGGCAUGUGGUGUCACAAUGACUUGAUCCUAACGGUAAAACUGAUAUUCGACCAUCUUAAAGAUAAAUUAUGAGAGAAAUCCUAUUUUUGACUCUGCGCCUUCGAAUCUAACCCCGUCACAAAAUUCAUCGAUCCUUCAACAAGCAAGUCUGUUACUUUGACGACAUCAUCAAGACCAGAGGUAAGAGACACUGGGACCGUACCUGCAGGUGGUAAUGAUCUGCAAACGGUUGACGAAGAAUAAUCCAGAUUCAAAGAAAGCGAAGGUGACGCUGACGCCAUGCG
rnacentral:lncRNA from 1 species